UGUCGUGACCUUCAUAACCUGACAUUUAUUGAUUCAAACAUUUCAAACAGAUUUUGCACUAUGUUUAUGCAUAGACUGCAACAUUAUCUUCAUAGAAUUUUUCUACGAAGACAAAUAUCUUAUAUUUUCGCGAAACAAAGAAUAUUGGUAUUUUAUAAAAUAAAACAUCAAAUUGAUAAUAAGUCGACCAUAGAAAAAUGCAUUGGACUAUGAAUCACCAACUCGAUUUUGCGUUAUUUAAGAAAUAAAAUUGUCAAGCACCGCAAA